AGGUAAAAGCUGCUAGGAAUGAUGAAAAGCUGUGUUUGUAGCUUAGAAAUAAACACAGGGAAGGAAAAUACGGAAGUGUGCAGAUGGAGCGGAUAUUUGGACUAAUCCAGGUUCAAGCCUCCGGGGUUUUUGCUGGCCAUGGAAUUGGGGGGUUAGCUGUCCUGACAGCACUAAAUCCCUCUUUAUCUCUUCUUCCCUUUGUUGUGGAUUUGCAGUGCCGUGGUGUUCGAGUGUGGGGCAGGAUCCAGGCGCUGUGGGAUGCCUGAAGUGGAGCCUUAAGCCAGCAAAGGACUUGAGCCACGGUCAUGUUCACCUCAGGACAAGGUUGUCCUGCAAGAACAGAUGUUAAGUCUGCCAUCCCCUCCUUGUACUGCUGUUGCUAAAAAAGCACCAGUCCGCUCCCAAAUGGGGAGAAAUCCCAAAAGGAAGAGGAUUUCUGGUUGCAGAGAAGCUGUCAGGAUGGAGUGCAGGUGCAGCUUUUUGUGCUGAUGCUUCUUGUACACUGUGGGUAUUUUGAGCUUCCUGUAAACCUCAAGAUGCUGCUGAGCUGCAGGGAAGGUUCUCCCUUGUGCUGACACUUGAAAUUGGUUAGUGCUGAGAAAUUAAUCCCCUGCUUUAGCUGGGCAUUGCUCCUCUUCCCUCAGCAUCCCUGUGUGCAGCUGUGUCCUCCCCAAAGGUGCUGGAUACAGCUCUGGCAUCCCACUCCUGUCCACCUGCGGGGUAUUGCUCACUUUAGAGCAGCAGAACUGUUUCAGUUCAGGUUCCCUCUCAGGCAAUGGGCUGUUCUCACGUGGUGCUGUAGCUUUAUACUGGCAGAAACUCACAGAAUUUUUUUUUUCCUUUCUCUCUGCAGUUUGGUAUUCACAGAGCGGCGUCAGCCCUGCACAUAGCCCGGGUGGUGCUGAGUGUUGGGGAGAUCCUGCAGAUCAGUGCUGCCUGAACCACACUGAUAAAGUCUCCAGGCCUCUUCCUUGGGGAGGUCCUUUCCUGCUGAGGGACAUUUCUCUGGGCCCCUUGAUGCACGUGACAAAGGGUGAUGCUUUGUAAAAGCCAUUUUGUAGCUGGAUGGGAUGUCCUCUCAGCUCCAAAUGCCUUUGCCUGUUGGGAUUGGAGUUUUCCAGCUGAGGUGUCUGCCUUGGACCAAGUUCUUCUGGAGAAACACCAGCUCAGAGUGGAACAGCCACUCCUGAGGAUAUAAUUGUGGAAAACGAAAUAACUUUCCAUGCUGAAGCAAACCUGGCCCUUGUGGAAGAGGCAAAGGGGAAAGAAGAGAGGCUGUAUUAGAGCUUUCCAGUUAAUUCCCUGAAUAUGCCUUUACCUGGACCAUGUUUGAUCUUUCCUCUGAGCUGCCUUUAGUCUGUGCAAGCCUGAGGGCUUUGGCCACAAAGAGAUGGGUAUCCUGUCCUUGGGGGGAACUUUAUCUCCAUUUGGUGGCUUCCAGUGGGAUGAAAAGGGGCAUUGAAGUGGCUGGAAACAUG
rnacentral:lncRNA from 1 species